rnacentral:rRNA from 1 species
ACGAACGCUGGCGGCAGGCUUAACACAUGCAAGUCGAACGCCCCGCAAGGGGAGUGGCAGACGGGUGAGUAACGCGUGGGAAUCUACCUAGUUCUACGGAACAACAGUUGGAAACGACUGCUAAUACCGUAUACGCCCUACGGGGGAAAGAUUUAUCGGAAUUAGAUGAGCCCGCGUAAGAUUAGCUAGUUGGUGGGGUAAUGGCCUACCAAGGCGACGAUCUUUAGCUGGUCUGAGAGGAUGAUCAGCCACACUGGGACUGAGACACGGCCCAGACUCCUACGGGAGGCAGCAGUGGGGAAUAUUGGACAAUGGGCGCAAGCCUGAUCCAGCCAUGCCGCGUGAGUGAUGAAGGCCUUAGGGUUGUAAAGCUCUUUCACCGAUGAAGAUAAUGACGGUAGUCGGAGAAGAAGCCCCGGCUAACUUCGU